CCCUUAGAUGUCCGGGGCCGCACGCGCGCUACAAUGGAUGAAUCAACGCGUCGUCCUGGCCCGAAAGGGUUGGGGAACCGCUGAACCUCAUCCGUGGUUGGGAUUGGGGUUUGUAAUUAUUCCCCAUGAACUAGGAAUUCCCAGUAAACGCAAGUCAUCAGCUUGCAUUGAUUACGUCCCUGCCCUUUGUACACACCGCCCGUCGCUCCUACCGAUUGGAUGGUCCGGUGAAGCCUCGGGAUUGUGGUUCUUGCCGCUUUAUUGUGGCGUGACCGCGAGAACUUGUCUAAACCUUAUCAUCUAGAGGAAGGUGAAGUCGUAACA
rnacentral:rRNA from 1 species